CGCGAACGUUAGCGGCGGGCCUAACACAUGCAAGUCGAACGCGAAAGGGAUUCGUCCCCGGUAGCGUGGCGUCCGGGUGAGUAACACGUAGGAAACCUUCCCUAGAGAGUGGGAUAACGUCCCGAAAGGGACGCUAAUACCGCAUAAGCCCACGACCGCUUCGGCGGAUGAGGGAAAAGAUGGCCUCUGUAUACAAGCUAUCACUUUGGGAUGGUCCUGCGGCGCAUCAGCUAGUUGGUAGGGUAAUGGCCUACCAAGGCGAAGACGCGUAGCUGGUCUGAGAGGAUGAUCAGCCACACUGGCACUGAAACACGGGCCAGACUCCUACGGGAGGCAGCAGUGGGGAAUAUUGGACAAUGGGCGCAAGCCUGAUCCAGCCACGCCGCGUGAGUGAUGAAGGCCUUCGGGUUGUAAAGCUCUGUGGGGAGAGGCGAAAACAGUCAUCAAGAAACGGAUGAUUCUUGACGGUAUCUCCUUAGCAAGCACCGGCUAACUCUGUGCCAGCCGCCGCGGUAAAAC
rnacentral:rRNA from 1 species